rnacentral:rRNA from 1 species
AGCUUGCUUCUCUGAUGUUAGCGGCGGACGGGUGAGUAACACGUGGGUAACCUACCUAUAAGACUGGGAUAACUCCGGGAAACCGGGGCUAAUACCGGAUAAUAUUUUGAACCGCAUGGUUCAAUAGUGAAAGACGGUUUCGGCUGUCACUUAUAGAUGGACCCGCGCCGUAUUAGCUAGUUGGUAAGGUAACGGCUUACCAAGGCGACGAUACGUAGCCGACCUGAGAGGGUGAUCGGCCACACUGGAACUGAGACACGGUCCAGACUCCUACGGGAGGCAGCAGUAGGGAAUCUUCCGCAAUGGGCGAAAGCCUGACGGAGCAACGCCGCGUGAGUGAUGAAGGUCUUCGGAUCGUAAAACUCUGUUGUUAGGGAAGAACAAAUUUGUUAGUAACUGAACAAGUCUUGACGGUACCUAACCAGAAAGCCACGGCUAACUACGUGCCAGCAGCCGCGGUAAUACGUAGGUGGCAAGCGUUAUCCGGAAUUAUUGGGCGUAAAGCGCGCGUAGGCGGUUUCUUAAGUCUGAUGUGAAAGCCCACGGCUCAACCGUGGAGGGUCAUUGGAAACUGGGAAACUUGAGUGCAGAAGAGGAGAGUGGAAUUCCAUGUGUAGCGGUGAAAUGCGCAGAGAUAUGGAGGAACACCAGUGGCGAAGGCGGCUCUCUGG